GUGGGGAAUAUUGGACAAUGGGCGCAAGCCUGAUCCAGCCAUGCCGCGUGAGUGAUGAAGGCCUUAGGGUUGUAAAGCUCUUUCAGUGGGGACGAUAAUGACGGUACCCACAGAAGAAGCCCCGGCUAACUUCGUGCCAGCAGCCGCGGUAAUACGAAGGGGGCUAGCGUUGUUCGGAUUUACUGGGCGUAAAGCGCACGUAGGCGGAUCGUUAAGUCGGGGGUGAAAUCCUGGAGCUCAACUCCAGAACUGCCUUCGAUACUGGCGAUCUUGAGUCCGGAAGAAGUGAGUGGAACUCCUAGUGUAGGGGUGGAAUUCGUAGAUAUUAGGAAGAACACCAGUGGCGAAGGCGGCUCACUGGUCCGGUACUGACGCUGAGGUGCGAAAGCGUGGGGAGCAAACAGGAUUAGAAACCCUAGUAGUCC
rnacentral:rRNA from 1 species